GUACACAUUUCUGUUGUAGCCCCGAACAAACUCUUGAUUCAACCUUUUAACUAAUCAUCAAUCCCUGGAUGAGAAGAAUCAGGUGAGUUUGUCUGGGGCUACAACAAAAAUGUGUGCUGUUGGGGAAACACUGCUCUAGCACAUGCCUACAUCAAUCCAAUGCUUUUAAAAGUGAAUGAGUGCACACUUUGGGAAGAAGGAAAGAUUAUUGGGACACACCCUGAGAGUGACUGGGGAAAAGCAGCAGCAGCAGCCUAUUAAACCCCACGUUCUUAUGUGAUUCUGUACACACCAGGGUUGGUAACAAAUUUGUCUGGGAAAGGGCCUUAUGUUGUGUCUGGUAACAGGAGGAUAGGUCAAGAUGACACUAUAUUAACCAUACAAAGGAUGGGGAUGGUGGGGCACUUUUUAAUUUAGGCCUAGAUGUGGGCAGAGCAAAGAAAGGUAAAAGGAAAUCAGUCUUUAGAGCAUCCUGUUUGUGGGCAGCUAGGGUUUUUCUUCUCUCCCCUCUCUCUCAAUUUGAUGUUAAAGGCCCAGUGCAAUCAAUUCUGUUUUCCUGUGUUUUAUAUUCUAUUGUACAGUAGACGAUGAAACGAACACUGUAACAGUGUGGUCAGUGUUAUUUCCUGGUAGUUGCUGGUUUAAAAUUCAAUCUACACAGGAGCUUUUAAUGAGCAGGUUUGCAUGGAUGGGAGUUUCUGCUUUCCAUUGUGACAUCACCAUGUGGUAAAUUGGUUAAUUGAUCAGUAACACAGAUAGUUCUAAACCCCUCUGCCAAUAACGGCAAUCUUUGGCACUUUUUCAUGGAAAUCUAUUACAGUAAUGUACUUAAUUGUUAUCCAGAAGUGAUUUGAUAUUUAUAUAAAAAUGGCUACAUUGGGCCUUUAAGUAGCUACCUUUAGCACCUCUCAGUACCUUAAAACAGUAUUAUGUGUUUGGUUAUACUGUAGCGGCAUGAGUCAUGAUGUCAACAGUCCUCCUAUACUGUAUGAGUCAUGUCAAGCUGAACAGGAUCAUCUUUUUUCUACACUAACUGUAUGAUGACCUACUACAGUAACUCCUUUUAUGAAAUUACAGACAGUGAUGUAGUAUAAUUGUUAGUGAGUUUUUAGAAUGGCAUAUCUAUAUCUCUGUGCAACUGAUGAGGUUAAAAUGUAGAGUGUUUUCUUAUGCUUGUUAGACAGCCUCUAAUUUCCCAGGACUUGAGCCUGAACCCAGGACUCACUGGAAAACAGUGGUAAGUGUAACUGACAAGUCAACUCAGCGACCCUGUUAUUUGUGUGAGAGCAGAUGUCAAGAAGACUUGUAGCCUACUAACUGUUGCAUUUUAUUUUAUGUGUGCUCUUGUUGCAAAAGCAAUUUCCCUGUCUAUACAACAAAUACAGUUGAACAUUCUUUCAUUGAGUGGAGCAAAUAUGUGUAAACUGUCUAAUUGUGUUGCAGAACAACAGUGGGACUCUGGCCACCUUCUCUCUUCCUCCACGGAUGAUCUACCCAGUCCAGAUCCCUGCAGGGUUCACAAUGCAGACAUCCUCUGGCCAGCUUUACAUGGUCAACUUUAUAGUGAUGGUGUCUCAGGUUCCAGCCGGCCACAGCCCUCUCCCCUCAGCUCCAGAAGGGGGUACCUGUAGUGGAGUGGAAAGAUCCCAGCUCAUCUUCCCAGCAGUCAGCUAUGGUGGUCCCUUCUACUGUCCUCAAGACCAUGACCACUCCGAAGACAGAUCCGUUCUCCCCACGACCUGUGGCCCCUCCCACAGCUGUACCUCAGACACCAGAGCAGACCCUGAUACGUCCAGUCCAGGUGAUGCCUCCGGUCCAGCCACCUGAUGAGAAGCCUGUGCUACCCAAACCCGUGGUCCAGCCACCCAGUUCAGGAGAACCAUCUCCUUCAGCAGCCACAGGUUCCUUUAGCUCAGGCACGCUUUUCUGUGCAGACUCCAGUGUCCUUUUAUUUUCGUCCCAACCGCCAUCUCACCCCCAGAGAGCCCUUUCGACAGUCCACAGCAGCUAGACAUGAGCCUGUCCUCGUCCCUUUCCUCUGGCUCCGCCCAGAUGCCAAGCCUUUAGGUAAAGUAUUAUGUUUUUUUUCAACGACUUGUGGACAACUCAGCCAUAUCUUCAUCAAAUAGUCAACAAUCUCAUGUAAUUGAAUUACAAUGGCAAGGCAGGGUACUGCUAUAAUUAAUAAGACAGAGGCUUCCUCCCAAAUGACACCCUAUUCCCUAUAGAGUACACAUCCUGACCAGGGACCAUAGGGCUCUAGUCAAAUGUAGUGCACUUUUAUUGAGAAUAGGGUGCCAUUGGACAACAAGAGACCCGAGCCAAGGUUCAACAUACAGCUUACAUAAUCAUGUCUAUUUUACCCAGGUCAAGAUGAAGAUGAGCAUU